GCGGCAGAGCCCGACCGCGCCGUUCCCCAGAACAGCCCCGGCCCGGCUGCGGCUGAGUCGGACUCCGGGUGUGGACGGAGCCGGAGCCUCCCCGGGACGCGAACCGACAUCUAGAGGAGUACUCACCACUUAAUUGGUGAUCAAUACACGUUCGUUGAAAGAACCGAUAGCAUGCGAUCGAUACAGAGCAUCUGCACUGGCAGUGUCUGCCCCGCCUCGGGGGCUAAUGGAGCUGAGGGUAUAGUCGGCCUUGGACCCUCGCUUUUUUCCUUUCCUAUACCAUGAAGAUAACUGCCUUAUCUCCCCCUCAGGACUGUUCCGGGGAUUAAAUAGGACGUUUAAAUUACCAACGCUCUUUGAAAUAAACAUUUCAAAAUUAUUAUAA